rnacentral:rRNA from 1 species
GAUGAACGCUGGCGGCGUGCCUAAUACAUGCAAGUCGAGCGAACAGACGAGGACCUUGCUCCUCUGACGUUAGCGGCGGACGGGUGAGUAACACGUGGAUAACCUACCUAUAAGACUGGGAUAACUUCGGGAAACCGGAGCUAAUACCGGAUAAUAUAUUGAACCGCAUGGUUCAAUAGUGAAAGACGGUUUUGCUGUCACUUAUAGAUGGAUCCGCGCCGCAUUAGCUAGUUGGUAAGGUAACGGCUUACCAAGGCAACGAUGCGUAGCCGACCUGAGAGGGUGAUCGGCCACACUGGAACUGAGACACGGUCCAGACUCCUACGGGAGGCAGCAGUAGGGAAUCUUCCGCAAUGGGCGAAAGCUUGACGGAGCAACGCCGCGUGAGUGAUGAAGGUCUUCGGAUCGUAAAACUCUGUUAUUAGGGAAGAACAAAUGUGUAAGUAACUAUGCACGUCUUGACGGUACCUAAUCAGAAAGCCACGGCUAACUACGUG